rnacentral:rRNA from 1 species
UUGAUCCUGGCUCAGAAUCAACGCUGGCGGCGUGCCUAACACAUGCAAGUCGAACGCGAAAGGGGAGCAAUCCCUGAUUAGAGUGGCAAACGGGUGAGUUACACGUGGGUGACCUGCCUUCGAGUGGGGGAUAACCUUCCGAAAGGAGGUCUAAUACCGCAUGACAUACCGUGUUUGGAUACAUGGAUAUCAAAGCCGGUGAUCGCAAGACCUGGCGCUUGAAGAGGGGCCCGCGUCCGAUUAGCUAGUUGGUGGGGUAACGGCUCACCAAGGCUCCGAUCGGUAUCCGGCCUGAGAGGUCGGACGGACACACUGGAACUGAGACACGGUCCAGACUCCUACGGGAGGCUGCAGUGGGGAAUUGUUCGCAAUGGGCGAAAGCCUGACGACGCAACGCCGUGUGGAGGAUGAAGAAUUUCGGUUCGUAAACUCCUUUCGACCGAGAUGAAUAUCCGCCGACUUAACACGUCGGCGGACUGACAGUAUCGAGAGAAGAAGCUCCGGCUAACUCUGUGCCAGCAGCCGCGGUAAUAAGGU